rnacentral:misc_RNA from 1 species
GUUAUAAUAAAAUUUACCUUUCUUGGACCUUGGCCUUCCGGUUCGGCAACGUCUACGGUGAGGAUCUCUUCGCCACCGAGCACCGGUCUUUUUAGGUCAUUGCUGCUAUCGGGAUUGCCAAGAUCAUUUUAGACAUCGCAGUCGUAUAUCCUAUCACCUUUCUUGCGCUCUCCUUGACCAUCUCCUCGAAGAAUUAUAAGCUCUUCCUCUCUCAGCCUCCUCAAUCCAUCUGGAGUCUCUGAUGGCAAUGGUCCGGAUCUAAAAUAUCAUGCUUUUGGGCAAGUAGAACCGAUAAGGAGCUUCAGUGAAAGGUUUUAUUUUAUGGAGCUGACGGGCACAAGAAAAGUUGUUUCUACCCAUUAAGUGGAUUGGAUAAAGAAUUACAAACUCUUAGUCUUAUGCAUGACAUUUCAGAACCCAACCUUAAGAGCGUUGUCUCUUUUUCAUAAAAGGUGCUAGAGAUGUUGCUGUUCUAGAUGCAACGGUUGAAUCUGGAAUGACAGGUAAAGAAGUUAUAGGGAAGAGGCAAGAAAACAACAGAAAUAUGGUUGACGCUGUUAAUUUGAAAUAAUCCAUUGGUUCUGAAACCAAAUGUAAUUGACCUAAGUUGUAAUAGAUCGUGGAGAUUCAAAUACUCUUCCAUAAAUCUCUGAACCUCAUCAGAGUAUCCUUUACAAGAUCAAUCUCCACGAUCUAUUACAACUUAGGUC